rnacentral:rRNA from 1 species
GACGAACGCUGGCGGCGUGCUUAACACAUGCAAGUCGAACGAAGUGGCGAACGGGUGAGUAAUACGUGGGUAACCUGCCCUCCUUUUUGGGAUAAGCCUUGGAAACGGGGUCUAAUACCGAAUAAAGGGGGAUGGGCUCGCGGCCUAUCAGCUUGUUGGUGGGGUGAUGGCCUACCAAGGCGGUGACGGGUAGCCGGCCUGAGAGGGUGACCGGACACAUGAGGAGUGAGAUACGGCGCAGAGUCCUACGGGAGGCAGCAGUGGGGGAUAUUGCACAAUGGGGGAAAACCUGAUGCAGCGCCGCCGCGAGGGGGAUGAAGGCUUUCGGGUUGUAAACCUCUUUCGCUAUCGAAGGGGUAGGUGGAGAAGAAGCGCCGGCUAACUACGUGCCAGCAGCCGCGGUAAUAC